AAGAUAUAUUUAUAAGAUUAAAAUAUUUAAUCUUUUAUUAUUCUACUAUAAAAUUUUAAAAAUACAUGUUUUGAACUACCAAUUUUUCUUUCCGCAGGGAGAUCAUAGGAUCGAAUUGCAUGAUAACUUUUCACUGAAGGAUAUUUUUAGUAUUUCUAUCAAAAUUUAAUACCUUCCAAGUAGAUAUGAUAUAUUACUAGACAUCAAUCUUAUCUUGUGGGUU
rnacentral:lncRNA from 1 species